rnacentral:rRNA from 1 species
GAUGAACGCUGACAGAAUGCUUAACACAUGCAAGUCUACUUGAACUUCGGUUUGGGUGGCGGACGGGUGAGUAACGCGUACAGAACUUGCCUCACAGAUAGGGACAACAUUUGGAAACGAAUGCUAAUACCUGAUAUUAUGAUUUUAGGGCAUCCUAGAAUUAUGAAAGCUAUAUGCACUGUGAGAGAGCUUUGCGUCCCAUUAGCUAGUUGGAGAGGUAACGGCUCACCAAGGCGAUGAUGGGUAGCCGGCCUGAGAGGGUGAUCGGCCACAAGGGGACUGAGGCACGGCCCUAACGCCUACGGGCGGCAGCAGUGGGGAAUAUUGGACAAUGGACCAAGAGUCUGAUCCAGCAAUUCUGUGUGCACGAUGAGGUUUUUCGGAAUGUAAAGUGCUUUCAGUUGGGAAGAAAAAAAUGACGGUACCAACAGAAGAAGUGACGGCUAAAUACGUG